CAGAAGAAAUCCCUUUGGGAGGGAUGC
rnacentral:piRNA from 1 species